rnacentral:rRNA from 1 species
GAAAGCCUGAUCCAGCCAUGCCGCGUGUGUGAAGAAGGCUUUCGGGUUGUAAAGCACUUUCAGCGAGGAAGAARGCCUCUGGGUUAAUACCCCAGAGGAAGGACAUCACUCGCAGAAGAAGCACCGGCUAACUCCGUGCCAGCAGCCGCGGUAAUACGGAGGGUGCGAGCGUUAAUCGGAAUUACUGGGCGUAAAGCGCGCGUAGGUGGCUUGGCACGCCGGUUGUGAAAGCCCCGGGCUCAACCUGGGAACKGCAUCCGGAACGGCCAGGCUAGAGUGCAGGAGAGGAAGGUAGAAUUCCCGGUGUAGCGGUGAAAUGCGUAGAGAUCGGGAGGAAUACCAGUGGCGAAGGCGGCCUUCUGGCCUGACACUGACACUGAGGUGCGAAAGCGUGGGUAGCAAACAGGAUUAGAUACCCUGGUAGUCCACGCCGUAAACGAUGUCGACUAGCCGUUGGGACCUUUAAGGACUUAGUGGCGCAGUUAACGCGAUAAGUCGACCGCCUGGGGAGUACGGCCGCAAGGUUAAAACUCAAAUGAAUUGACGGGGGCCCGCACAAGCGGUGGAGCAUGUGGUUUAAUUCGAUGCAACGCGAAGAACUUACCUACCCUUGACAUCCAGAGA